rnacentral:rRNA from 1 species
CAGUAGCCGCGGUAAUACAGAGGGUGCGAGCGUUAAUCGGAUUUACUGGGCGUAAAGCGUGCGUGGGCGGCUUCUUAAGUCGGAUGUGAAAUCCCUGAGCUUAACUUAGGAAUUGCAUUCGAUACUGGGAAGCUAGAGUAUGGGAGAGGAUGGUAGAAUUCCAGGUGUAGCGGUGAAAUGCGUAGAGAUCUGGAGGAAUACCGAUGGCGAAGGCAGCCAUCUGGCCUAAUACUGACGCUGAGGUACGAAAGCAUGGGGAGCAAACAGGAUUAGAUACCCCUGUAGUCCCUGUCUCUUAUAC